UAAUAAGAAACAUUGGCCAACCGUAGGCGGCGAGGGCAAAAUGCAUGUAAUGAAUUGCGGACUGAAAGUGACCAAGAUCACCGUCUUCUGUCAAAGAUAAAAACUUUGUCCUUGGCGUAACCGGUACGCCGGAGAGAAAUUCCAGAACCAAACCAGCAACAACAUCCGAUGGAACGACAUCCAAAUCUCGGAAGAAAUCACUCAGGAGUCUCGCAAUAUCGGCGAAUGAAUUCUGCGUAAAGGAUUAACAUCGUCUCAAUUCACAAUUCAAUGAAAACGAUCAUCAAACACCGUGGGAUGUUAUCGACUCACCCUGUUUCUGUCGGAGUUUCCCAUGCAACAGAAUAACAGUCUACAUCUGUUGUCCCAGCUAUCCUGAUAAGCGCGUAUCACUUUUCUGUGCGAGGAAAAAAAAAAGAAAAAUCACCAUUCCCUGAUAUUCGAAUAAAGAGGGGCAUAAAUCCAGUCGAAAUAAUGAA